rnacentral:rRNA from 1 species
GCUCAGGACGAACGCUGGCGGCGUGCCUAACACAUGCAAGUCGAGCGAAGCGGUUUUAAGGAAGUUUUCGGAUGGAAUUAAAACUGACUGAGCGGCGGACGGGUGAGUAACGCGUGGGUAACCUGCCUCAUACAGGGGGAUAACAGUUAGAAAUGGCUGCUAAUACCGCAUAAGCACACAGCUUCGCAUGGAGCAGUGUGAAAAACUCCGGUGGUAUGAGAUGGACCCGCGUCUGAUUAGCUAGUUGGUAAGGUAACGGCUUACCAAGGCGACGAUCAGUAGCCGACCUGAGAGGGUGACCGGCCACAUUGGGACUGAGACACGGCCCAAACUCCUACGGGAGGCAGCAGUA